UGGGGAAUAUUGCACAAUGGGGGAAACCCUGAUGCAGCGACGCCGCGUGAACGAAGAAGGUAUUCGUAUCGUAAAGUUCUGUCCUAUGGGAAGAUUAUGACAGUACCAUAGAAGAAAGCUCCGGCUAAAUACGUGCCAGCAGCCGCGGUAAUACGUAUGGAGCGAGCGUUGUUCGGAAUUAUUGGGCGUAAAGGGUACGCAGGCGGUUUAAUAAGUCGAAUGUUAAAGAUCGGGGCUCAACCCCGCAAAGCAUUGGAAACUGAUAAACUUGAGUAGUGGAGAGGAAAGUGGAAUUCCUAGUGUAGUGGUGAAAUACGUAGAUAUUAGGAGGAAUACCAGUAGCGAAGGCGACUUUCAGGACACAAACUGACGCUGAGCUACGAAAGCGUGGGGAGCAAACAGG
rnacentral:rRNA from 1 species